rnacentral:rRNA from 1 species
AUUGAACGCUGGCGGCAGGCUUAACACAUGCAAGUCGAGCGAGCGGCGGACGGGUGAGUAAUGUCUGGGAAACUGCCUGAUGGAGGGGGAUAACUACUGGAAACGGUAGCUAAUACCGCAUACCAUCAGAUGUGCCCAGAUGGGAUUAGCUAGUAGGUGGGGUAAUGGCUCACCUAGGCGACGAUCCCUAGCUGGUCUGAGAGGAUGACCAGCCACACGGGAACGGAGACACGGUCCAGACUCCGACGGGAGGCAGCAGUGGGGAAUAUUGCACAAGGGGGGCAAGCCUGAUGCAGCCAUGCGGCGGGUGUGAAGAAGGCCUUCGGGUUGUAAAGCACGUUCAGCGAGGAGGCGUUACUCGAAGAAGAAGCAACGGCUAACUCCGUGCCAGCAGCCGCGGUAAUUC